UGGGGAAUAUUGCACAAUGGAGGGAACUCUGAUGCAGCGACGCCGCGUGAGUGAAGAAGGUCUUCGGAUCGUAAAACUCUGUCCUUGGUGAAGAAAAGGACGGUAGCCAAGGAGGAAGCCCCGGCUAACUACGUGCCAGCAGCCGCGGUAAUACGUAGGGGGCGAGCGUUGUCCGGAUUUACUGGGCGUAAAGGGUGAGUAGGCGGUUAUAUAUGUCAGGUGUAAAAAGCUAUGGCUUAACCAUAGUAAGCACUUGAAACUGUAUGACUUGAGUGCAGGAGAGGUAAGCGGAAUUCCUAGUGUAGCGGUGAAAUGCGUAGAUAUUAGGAGGAACACCGGUGGCGAAGGCGGCUUACUGGACUGUAACUGACGCUGAGUCACGAAAGCGUGGGUAGCAAAC
rnacentral:rRNA from 1 species